UGGUCGGCAUUUAUAGUCUUGUGAGUGUAUAUGGUGGGCAUUUAUAGUCUAGUGAGUGUGUAUAUGGUGGGCAUUUAUAGUCUAGUGAGUGUGUGUAUGGUGGGCAUUUAUAGUCUAGUGGUUGUGUAUAUGGUGGGCAUUUAUAGUCUAGUGAGUGUGUGUAGGGUGGGCAUUUAUAGUCUAGUGAGUGUGUAUAUGGUGGGCAUUUAUAGUCUAGUGAGUGUGUGUAUGGUGGGCAUUUAUAGUCUAGUGAGUGUGUAUAUGGUGGGCAUUUAUAGUCUAGUGAGUGUGUAUAUGUGUAACGGUUUUCUUUAUGUAAAGUAGAGGCGGACCAAAAUGCAGCGUGAUUGUUAUUCAUGUUUUUUAAUGCAG
ensembl:lncRNA